rnacentral:rRNA from 1 species
CAGUAGCCGCGGGAAUACGAAGGGGGCUAGCGUUGCUCGGAAUUACUGGGCGUAAAGGGCGCGUAGGCGGACAGUUCAGUCGGGGGUGAAAGCCCGGGGCUCAACCUCGGAAUUGCCUUCGAUACUGGCUGUCUUGAGUAUGAGAGAGGUGUGUGGAACUCCGAGUGUAGAGGUGAAAUUCGUAGAUAUUCGGAAGAACACCAGUGGCGAAGGCGACACACUGGCUCAUUACUGACGCUGAGGCGCGAAAGCGUGGGGAGCAAACAGGAUUAGAUACCCCGGUAGUCCCUGUCUCUUAUAC